UUGUAUAUGAUGAAGUCUCUUACCAACGCUCUUUUUUAUAGAGGUAGUUCUACCACCUACGGAUGGAUGAGGGAUAGAGCAUGCAUGAGUAUCUCAGCCACUUUCAAAAGAAUCUCAUCGAUCUUUUCAGUGUAGGUGAGAAGGUUGAGGAGAAGACUAGGGUGUUGGUCUUGCUAGCGUCGCUUCUCUCUUCAUAUGAUUCCUUGGUGACUGCUCUUCUAGUAGAAAAGAGCACCAUCAAGAUAGAUGAGGUCACCAUAAUGA
rnacentral:lncRNA from 1 species